rnacentral:tRNA from 1 species
UAGCUCAAUUGUAGAGCACUUGCUUCAUAUGCAUGAGGCCCUGGGUUCAAGUUUCAG